UACGGAGGGGGCAAGCGUUAUUCGGAAUUACUGGGCGUAAAGGGCGCGCAGGCGGCCGCGCAAGUCGAGUGUGAAAGCCCCGGGCUUAACUUGGGAAUUGCGCUCGAAACUACGUGGCUGGAGUGUGGCAGAGGAAGGUGGAAUUCCACGUGUAGCGGUGAAAUGCGUAGAGAUGUGGAGGAACACCAAUGGCGAAGGCAGCCUUCUGGGCCAACACUGACGCUCAUGCACGAAAGCGUGGGGAGCAAACAGG
rnacentral:rRNA from 1 species